CUUAAAGGAAUUGACGGGCCCGCACAAGCAGCGGAGCGUGUGGUUUAAUUCGAUGUUACACGAAGAACCUUACCAGGGUUUGACAUGCAAGUGGUAGGAAGCCGAAAGGUGACCGACCCUUCGGGGAGCUUGCACAGGUGCUGCAUGGCUGUCGUCAGCUCGUGUCGUGAGAUGUUCGGUUAAGUCCGCUAACGAGCGCAACCCUCGCUGUGUGUUAUAUGUGUCACACGGGACUGCCGGUCUUAAGCCGGAGGAAGGUGGGGAUGAUGUCAAGUCAGCAUGGCCUUUAUAUCCUGGGCUACACACACGCUACAAUGGCCAACACAAUAGGUUGCUAAGCCGCGAGGUGGCGCCAAUCCAUAAAGUUGGUCUCAGUUCAGAUUGUAGGCUGCAACCCGCCUGCAUGAAGAUGGAGUUGCUAGUAACCGCAGGUCAGCUAUACUGCGGUGAAUACGUUCCCGGGGCUU
rnacentral:rRNA from 1 species